AGAGUUUGAUUCUGGCUCAGAACGAACGCUGGCGGCAGGCCUAAUACAUGCAAGUCGAACGAGGUAGCAAUACCUAGUGGCGCACGGGUGAGUAACGCGUGGGAAUCUGCCUGAUAGUACGGAAUAACUGCGGGAAACUGCAGCUAAUACCGUAUACGCCCUCCGGGGGAAAGAUUUAUCGCUAUCAGAUGAGCCCGCGUAAGAUUAGCUAGUUGGUGGGGUAAAGGCCUACCAAGGCUACGAUCUUUAGCUGUUCUGAGAGGAAGAUCAGCCACACUGGAACUGAGACACGGUCCAGACUCCUACGGGAGGCAGCAGUAGGGAAUAUUGGACAAUGGGCGAAAGCCUGAUCCAGCCAUGCCGCGUGAGUGAUGAAGGCCUUAGGGUUGUAAAGCUCUUUUGUCAGGGAAGAUAAUGACGGUACCUGAAGAAUAAGUUCCGGCUAACUUCGUGCCGGCAGCCGCGGUAAUACGAAGGGAACUAGCGUUGUUCGGAAUCACUGGGCGUAAAGCGGGCGCAGGCGGAUAUACAAGUCAGGGGUGAAAUCCUGAGGCUUAACCUCAGAAUUGCCUUUGAGACUGUGUAUCUGGAGUGUGUGAGGGGGUAGCGGAAUUCCGUAUGUAGAGGUGAAAUUCGUAGAUAUUCGGAGGAACACCGGUGGCGAAGGCGGCUACCUGGCACACAACUGACGCUGAGGCCCGAAAGCGUGGGGAUCAAACAGGAUUAGAUACCCUGGUAGUCCACGCCCUAAACUAUGAAUGCUAGUUGUUGGUCUUCGGAUCAGUGACGUCGCUAACGCAUUAAGCAUUCCGCCUGGGGAGUACGGUCGCAAGAUUAAAACUCAAAGAAAUUGACGGGGACCCGCACAAGCGGUGGGGCAUGUGGUUUAAUUCGAGGCAACGCGAAGAACCUUACCAGGCCUUGACAUGGGGAGUAUGAAUUCCAGAAAAGGAAUUCUUCAGUUUGGCUGGCUCCCACACAGGUGUUGCAUGGCUGUCGUCAGCUCGUGUCGUGAGAUGUUGGGUUAAGUCCCGCAACGAGCGCAACCCUCAUCCUUAGUUGCCAUCAUUCAGUUGGGCACUCUAAGGAAACUGCCGGUGACAAGCCGGAGGAAGGCGGGGAUGACGUCAAGUCAUCAUGGCCCUUACGGCCUGGGCUACACACGUGCUACAAUGGCGGAUACAAUGCGUCGCUAACCCGCAAGGGCAAGCUAAUCGCUAAAAACCGUCUCAGUUCGGAUUGUCCUCUGCAACUCGAGGGCAUGAAGCUGGAAUCGCUAGUAAUCGUAGAUCAGCAUGCUACGGUGAAUACGUUCCCGGGUCUUGUACACACCGCCCGUCACACCAUGGAAGUUGGUUCCGCCUUAAGUCGCCCUUAAAAGCGCCCACGGCAGGGUCAAUGACUGGGGUGAAGUCGGAACAAGGUAGCCGUAUCGGAAGGUGCGGCUG
rnacentral:rRNA from 1 species